rnacentral:rRNA from 1 species
GACGAACGCUGGCGGCGUGCCUAACACAUGCAAGUCGAACGGAACUGUUUUGAAAGAUUUCUUCGGAAUGAAUUUGAUUUAGUUUAGUGGCGGACGGGUGAGUAACGCGUGAGUAACCUGCCUUCAAGAGGGGGAUAACAUUCUGAAAAGAAUGCUAAUACCGCAUGACAUAUCGGAAUCACAUGGUUUUGAUAUCAAAGAUUUUAUCGCUUGAAGAUGGACUCGCGUCCGAUUAGUUAGUUGGUGAGGUAACGGCUCACCAAGACCGCGAUCGGUAGCCGGACUGAGAGGUUGAACGGCCACAUUGGGACUGAGACACGGCCCAGACUCCUACGGGAGGCAGCAGUGGGGGAUAUUGCGCAAUGGGGGCAACCCUGACGCAGCAACGCCGCGUGAAGGAUGAAGGUUUUCGGAUUGUAAACUUCUUUUAUUAAGGACGAAAAAUGACGGUACUUAAUGAAUAAGCUCCGGC